AACCUCUGUUCGAGAAAGUGUUUUGAAGGCCAGCCUAGUUUUGUGGCUUUCGAUUGCAAAGGAACCAGGUUGGCCGAAGACCAAACGUCCUGUCUGCUUCCUUUCCUGUUUCAGUAGCUGCCUGCCGCUCGGAUCUGAGCGGCCCGGGUGGGGGGGUUUUAUUUAUUUUUUUUUGCAAUGAGAUAUUGUCAACAUCCUGGUUUGUUUCGCUUCUAGUGUUUCUUCCUGCUGCGUAGAAUGUGGCGUAACUUUGGGGCUGUCAUAGAUGCUAUACGGAGAGAGAAUUCCCUGGAAUGCGUCACUGGGACAAACAAAUGCCCCAGACCUGAGCCGAGAGCUGUCAUUUCCCUUUUCUACUUCAGCAAAUGCAAAACAAUCAAUCUUAGUGGAUAUGGAUCCCUACGGUUAUGAUCUAAGCUCCUGCCAGCGUAAGGAUACAUUGACCUGACUUCCCGUCACAUCAGUGGAGUUUGAGAACGUCAUCGAUCCAGAGUGAAGGGCAGGCAUUGUCCCCUCUUUCUCCUGAGAUCCAAGGCGUUUUCCUCUUCUCAACAUCACCUGAUUAUAGGCAUCGGGCAAAGACAAUCCAGCGUGGUCUAAAGAUCUGUCUAAAUGAGGAAGAGGAAAAAGCACUAUCAAGAUUUAAAUCGGGCUGAAGGGUCCUCUGGAGUUGAAGCCCAACCAACCUUGCCAACACCUUCCACAGAAAGGGAAGAUUGGAGACCGGAAUGAAAUUGCCCAGGGUGGGGUGAGGAGGCAGACCACAGUCUCCUUCAAGGCUGAGGAGACUACUCCUGCAGAGAAGCAUAUAUGUACGCCUGGCUCCAGCAGUAGGUCACCUCUAGGCACCCUUAACCAUCCAGGAAAGGCCUAGAUCAAAACAGAGAAUGAAGCUCCCAGAUGAGAGCAUCCUGUUCGUAGUCUGAGGACUCGCAAGCCAGCUCACUUCAGUUGACUAUACAAGACCAUGCCUUGGGCACUUCAUCUGGACAUGUUCACUCAAAAUCCGGCUCUCGAUGAUUCCAAAUGUCUUUAUCUGCCAAAUUGCAAAAUAUUUCUCACAGCAGUUAGUCCUGGAUUUAUCUCUCCCCAGCAGAGAUUGAGUCACCUUGAACAGGGCUGCCAGGGAGAUGCACUAAGGGCAGAGGAUUAUGUGAUUUUGCUGCCUUUAUCACUAUGAUGUAAGUCCAAAUAUAGAUUCUUACCUAUGCUAUGAUUCAUUCUCAUCCUCCUCCAAUGGUGCUCUAGGUGGCUCUUCAUGCACUUUAUCUUGCAGAGCUACUCAGUAGACCAAAGGAAUCUUGGGACCAGGACCAUCGGACCUAACAAGCUCUCUC